CACCCCCAGGGCGGCUGCAGAGGCGCCCACGAGGUGGGGACCGCGCACGAGGCCUCACGAGGUGCGUCUUGAGCGGGGGAGAGAAGUGGGGGAGGCACCUCCCCUUCCGGUGGCCAGUCCUCGGGACCCAGGCCACAAGCAGCCAUCUCCUCCUAACGGGGCUUGUGGGAAAACAGACGUGCGACUGCCUGCCUCAUCGGGACUCUGAAACCCACACUUUGUAAAUGUGCCUCUCUUGAACAAAGACUGGUUAAAAUGGCCCGUUAUGGUCCCUUCCCCCCAUGGAAACAACCCUGCAGAGGAUCCUCCCCACUUGCAACACCUCCUUGUGAAGUGGAGCCAGGCGGCUUCCGGCUUCCGGCUUCCUCCGGGGACCACUGCCCAGGCUUCCUGUUGGGUCAGGAAGACAGCGGGAAGCAGAGGCCUCUUUAACAAUGGCUGCAGACUCCAGCGCUUCAAAGGGCCGAACCCUUGCACGUCUAUAGACGCAGCCAGUUGGGCUGCAGCAGCCCUGGUAGAAGUGCAGGUAACCCGCGUCCUGGAGCUCCCACAGCCCCUGUGGCACACUGCGC
rnacentral:lncRNA from 1 species